UACGAAGGGGGCUAGCGUUGUUCGGAAUCACUGGGCGUAAAGCGCACGUAGGCGGCUUGUUAAGUCAGAGGUGAAAGCCUGGAGCUCAACUCCAGAACUGCCUUUGAUACUGGCAAGCUCGAGGAUAGCAGAGGUUGGUGGAACUCCGAGUGUAGAGGUGAAAUUCGUAGAUAUUCGGAAGAACACCAGUGGCGAAGGCGGCCAACUGGGCUAUUACUGACGCUGAGGUUCGAAAUCGUGGGGAGCACACAGG
rnacentral:rRNA from 1 species